rnacentral:misc_RNA from 1 species
UUAACUAUUACAUAGUACUCAGACGACACAAAUAUUCAGAGUUUUGGGGUCCUUUGGCGGGCACUCACCAGCCGGAGCCAGUAGCCGAAGCGGCCCGCCAAAGCAACAAAGGUAUAGUAUUCAAGGGUGGGAGAUCUACCCGUUAAGGGCAUGAACUCUGUAAUGAUCCUUCCGCAGGUUCACCUACGGAAA